GAUGAACGCUAGCGGCAGGCUUAACACAUGCAAGUCGAAGGACUGGCGCACGGGUGAGUAACACGUAUGCAACCUGCCCUCCACAGGGGGACAACCUUCCGAAAGGGGGCUAAUCCCGCAUAGUGGAGGAUGGGCAUGCGGCGAUUAGGCAGUAGGCGGGGUAACGGCCCACCUAACCGACGAUGCGUAGGGGUUCUGAGAGGAAGGUCCCCCACACUGGUACUGAGACACGGACCAGACUCCUACGGGAGGCAGCAGUGAGGAAUAUUGGUCAAUGGACGAGAGCCUGAACCAGCCAAGCCGCGUGGGCGAAGAAGGCCUAUGGGUCGUAAAGUCCUUUUGUCAGGGAACGUGUACCUGAAGAAAAAGCAUCGGCUAACUCCGUGCCAGCAGCCGCGGUAAUACGGAGGAUGCGAGCGUUAUCCGGAUUUAUUGGGUUUAAAGGGUGCGUAGGCGGUCUGGAAAGUCAGCGGUAAAAGCCCGGGGCUCAACCCCGGCGAGCCGUUGAAACUGACGGACUAGAGACGGAGAGAAGUACGCGGAAUGCGCAGUGUAGCGGUGAAAUGCAUAGAUAUUGCGCAGAACUCCGAUUGCGAAGGCAGCGUACCGGCUCCGGACUGACGCUGAGGCACGAAAGCGUGGGGAUCAAACAGGCUUAGAUACCCUGGUAGUCCACGCAGUAAACGAUGAAUGCCGGCUGUCGGGGGGUGGCGAAGCGAAAGCGAUAAGCAUUCCCCUGGGGAGUACGCCGGC
rnacentral:rRNA from 1 species